rnacentral:lncRNA from 1 species
UAACAGAUGCAAAAUGUAGGACUGACAGGAUGUAUGCCCCUGUAAACAGGAUGGGGCUUAAUCCCUUGGAAAGUAAUGUAAUGCAAUUCAAUGCAAGAUUUCACAGGGACUUUAGGUGAUUUUGUUUCCCAGGAAAACCUAACAGAAUUAUGCAGCUGUACAUCCUUGGGAUGGGCACCAAUAGACCAAAAAAAAAAAAGUAUUAUUUUUCAAAGAGCAGACUAAAUCUCACCUCAUUUCCCCCACGAUAUUUGCUCUCUGCUUUCUAGGAAGAAGAAGCAAAGCACACCAUUGAUGUGUGUGGGUUUGAUGUAGCAUCUUCUAAGAGGUCUACAAAGAGACAUUGCAAAGCCAGGCCUCUAAAUGAUUCCUCUGUGAAACAUUGGGCCAAACAUUCCGUAACCCCUUCCUGCUCUGGUGAUCAUGCUCCCAUGACCAGAUCAUUGAACCAUUCUAGAGACUUCAAAUCCAUUGAGAUGGGAUUAAUGCCUUUGCCUACUCAGGCAGAGGACAGACUGACCAUUGCAAGUGUUCAUCAGCAUUUUCCUGCUCUUAGACGGAAAGGCCAAGGCCACCCCAAGCAUGCUGAAAUUAAUGGGCCAUCGUCAGGAAGGAGUUCACAACUGUAUAUGGAGCCAGAACAAAUGGAGAGACCUCGUUCAGUCGAUGGAUGGUAGCAACAAGGAAGAAAGCAAAUGGAGAAAUGACAUCUCAUGACCCAGGUGAAGCCUACUGUUACUAUUUGGCUAAAAUAAGCCACAUAGCUUGUGUUGAAGAAUCUUUUUUAUUUCUUUAAGAAGAAUUUGGUGCCCAUGAAAGUGAUCAAAGUUUUUUGUUCUCCAGUGACAUCAAGCAGGAGAAAAGGAUAUACUCUCCAUUGUGUGGUCUGUGGACUGGCAGCAUCAUCAUGGGUGAGAAAUGAAAAACGUGGGGUCUUCCCUCACAUGGAUCAGUAUCUGCAGUUUCACAAGCUCCCGAGGGGUGAGUGCACAUGAAGGAUUGAGUAUUGCUCCAAAUAACCAGACCAACAAGGUAAGUGUGGUGCUUUUUGGUUUUACCCGAUUACAGGUGUCCAUUUAGUUGUGAUACAGCAACAGACAUAUUCAUUCCUUCUUGGCUACAUCUUAUUGUUUGGCAAGAUAUCUGUAUUUAGACACAUUACUAUGGUACAGCGGUUCUCAAAGUGUGGUCCACGGACUGGAAGUAUCAGCCUCACUUGGGAAUCUGUUAGAGAUGCAAAUUCUCUGGCCACACCCCAGACCUACUGAAUCAGAAACUCUGGGACUGGGGCUCAAAGUCUGUGUCUUGACCAGCGUUCCAGAUAAUUCUGAUGGGCUGUGGUAGUGAGACCCACUACUGUAGUACCUAGCUGCUCCAAUAAGCAGACAAUCUUGUCAUUAUAAAGCAGUCUACCAGAGUUUGAAGCAGUAGAAAAUCAAUGACUAAUGGAGAACAGGAAUGAUAAUCCAGCUCAGUUUCAUUUUUAUCUUAGAAUUAAUUGGAAAAUGUAUAGGUCGAGUGUUUCUUUCUAAUCUUUCUUUAAAUGCUCGGCCAGUGCCUGGAUUUUUGCCUUUAAUUCUAAUGUCCUCCUUGCUCAGGGAGGAUGCCUUUGGUGGAAGCCAAAGUUACUGCCUAAAAGACCAGUUUACUACAAAUAGGUAAGAAGAAACCUGCCUAAAAUCAAUCACCUACUUUAAGUUAAUCAGAUGUUCUAAGUGGAUGAUUUAUAUGACUCACAAAGGGCAUUUCAAAAAAGUUGCUGUGGACCCAGCUUCAGCAGUGAAUUUUGUGUUCUAGGUGAAUAAAAAGGAAAGUUUUGCAAGCAAAUGCUGACUUGCAGAUGGGCAGGUACUGCAUAGUUCAUGAACAGGAGGCACACCUGCUCUGAAGUUCUGCAGCCAACAAAGCUGUUUAAAGAGAAAGGGAGAAGCAAUCAGUAUUACCCACUGGUGCCUCCAAGAAGUGCCAAAGGAGGUACUUCUCAUUUUAAACAAGUCGAAUAAUAAGGUGCAGAUUAGAAUCAAAUGUGUAGGCAAUCCUUUUUCCUGGGCAGCACUGCCUCCACUCAGAGCCGGUCACAGAUGAGCAAAAUUGACUUCCUGGCUUAUCUCAUUUUCAGUUGAAAAUAUUGUUGAUGCAUUUGCUUCUAUGAAAGCCAGGAAAGUAAAAUUAUAGUAGAUCCAAUUUUAGGUAUGAAGAAAUACUUCAACAUAAAAUAAUGUGAGCUUUAAUACACUGGUCUUUCAAUUUUUCAAUAAUUUCUCAACUUCUUCAAUGGCCCAUAAAAAAAGAACUACAAAAAUAUAUAUAAAGAUAUACGUAUAUCAGGUAGACAUUUUCAGUUUUGCCUUAGGCUUCGAUAAAGAUUGACAAGGUAUUGUUGGGCUACAUCAUUUAUUUAAAAAUCUUGAUAUUUUGUUCAUGAACAUUUUUCCAUUGUUUUUAAAAAUUCAUUAAAAUAUUAUUUAUCUUCAUUACUGAUUUUUGGCACCCUCUUAAAUUAGCCCAAGGCUAGUGCCUUCCUUGUCUCACCCUCGUCCUGGAUCUGCUGCAGAGAAUUGAGUUCAACUUAUUGGGAUGAAAAAAAUUGUUUUUUCUUGUUAAACAUCAUAGUGCAAUGAAGAUAUAUUGGGCUUUUGAAUAAAACGGGACAUCUUUUGAAUCCUUGCUGUCAUUUACUAGUUUGUGAUUUUGUGGAUAUGUAAUACUGUUUGAUGUCCUAACUUCCCUGAAAAUCAGUUUUAUAAGUUAACUUGUGUUUUUAUAUUUGUUAGAUAUUUUUGUUCCAUUAUGUAAAUUGCAUGUUCUCUGAAUAUAUUUCUG